ACGCUCGACACCUACGGGGGGCAGCAGUGGGGAAUAUUGCACAAUGGGGGAAACCCUGAUGCAGCGACGCCGCGUGAAGGAAGAAGUAUUUCGGUAUGUAAACUUCUAUCAGCAGGGAAGAAAAUGACGGUACCUGAGUAAGAAGCACCGGCUAAAUACGUGCCAGCACGCCGAGGUAAUCUGAGGCGGGCGUGGACGAAGGC
rnacentral:rRNA from 1 species